CUGACCUACACGAUUUCAAAUAAAUUUUACUUAUCCGUUUACAUUUGACUUUAUCGUAUUGAAUUGAAAUUUAUUUUUGAUUGCGAACUGCGUCAUCACCGACUUCAAAAUAGAUUUCUUCAUAUACACCUGAUCAAUCAAAACUUCGUUAUGUGAGUCUGAAAAAUUUUCUUGAAAUUACCCAUUUAUAUCAACAGCUUCAAUCUGUUCAAUAGGAUCUGCAUUAAUUUGGUCAUUUGUAUCAUCAACUUCAACUCCAACGUUGUCCAAACUCAACCCGCAGUCAGACCUCUCGCCUUCAAAUUUCUUGUUAGAUUUUUCAUCUUCAAUAACUUUAUCAAAUCCAGAAACAUAUAAUGAAUAGUUUCAAAAUCUUUCUCUUCUUUAAGUACCAUUACGUACACUGUCACACCCAUGCCAUUAUGUAUCUCCAUUCAUUUACUACUAAAAUCAACUUUACACUUAAUUUUUACAUCAAGCCAAUAAAAAGUUGAUUACCAAUUAAUUGAAGCAAUUGUUCAUGCAUUUCACUUUCUUCAAUUGCAAUUGGGUCCAAGUGAUAAUGUUUAUUUUCGUUAUCAACGUUUCAUACACCCCAAAGCUAAUAGAUAAUUGUGCCAUUUUUUGCAUAUAAUCUACAAAGAAAUACAAAUAAUUAAUUGCAAAUAAAUUCAGAUUCAGAAGUAAUUUAGUAAGUACAAGAUUUUCAAAUAUUUAAUGAUUUGUGAGAAAAAACACAAAUUGAUUUUAUUAUACACACAGUAAUCAAAAAUAUAAAAAUUCAAUAAUCAGAACGAAUUCAUAGUCAUAAUACUUAUUCGAAUUCAGAAAACAUAUACAAAUUCGAGAAUGAAUUCAAAAACAUUUUUUUCAAAAAAAAGUAUUUCAUGAAUUCUCUUUUACAUAUUUUUAAAUAGAGAUUUUACCUGUUAUCAAUUGUAUGAAUUGAUAUCUUCUACUGCUUAUUUCAAAUCUUAAGAAAUUUUUUUCUCCAUUUUCGACAGAUCCAUAAAAAUGAGAUUUAAUGUUUAGUUAUGAAGUAGAAAUAUGUGGAGAAG
rnacentral:lncRNA from 1 species